AACUGAUCAGGUGGACAGGACGAAGUUCUCCUGGAACACUUCAUAUUACUUGUUACUACGUUGUGGAUAACUCUGUUUGUACUCCUUCUCCUCACUCUCUCCCAGCUCCAGUCACAGUGCUGAAUCAGAAACCGAGACUAAGCGUCAGUCAUGAUGGUCAGUUUGAUGUAUUCAGAUUUGUGUGUGAAAUAUCAGGGUCAGAGUCAGUAACUGCUGAUUUUAGCUGUAAUCUCUACACUGGAGAAAAUCCUCAGUUUUUCCUAAACCAAAGAUCUCUAAAGGGAAACUCUGUGAAGGUUUGUAGUUUUACAGCACAGAGAGACGCUGUGUUUAAUCGUCUGCAGUCAGUAAAGAGUCGUGAAGUGAGCUGUGAUUAUUCACUGAUCUCUGACCCGACUGCUCGCUCUCUAAUGAGUGAUAAAUACAACAUGAUGCAUGUCUUUACAACAACAAUAACAACAACGACUCAGACAUCCACUCCUGAAGAGAAACCCAGUGCAGGAACAACAGCAACAACAACAACAGCAACAACAACAAUAACAACAACAACAAUAAAGAGUGAUAAAUACAACAUGACACGUUUCUUUCCUACACCAACACAGCCGUCCAUCACUACUGAGAAAUCCACUGCAUAUGUUCCUCAGCCCCGGCUGACCGUGUCUCCUGAAGUUCUCACAGAGAGAGGAUCAGUGCAGAUUCACUGUCAUGUUCCAGACAAUGUUAAAGUGCAUCAGUGUUAUUUCUACCCAGAGAGAGACAACACAAAUCUAAAACUCUCUCCAUCAUGUCAGCUCUCAG
ensembl:lncRNA